rnacentral:rRNA from 1 species
GAUGAACGCUGACAGAAUGCUUAACACAUGCAAGUCUACUUGAUUCUACUUCGGUAGUUGAUGGUGGCGGACGGGUGAGUAACGCGUAAAGAAUCUGCCCUUUAGUUUGGGAUAACCUUUGGAAACGAAGGCUAAUACCGGAUAUUAUGGAGACGUCGCAUGGCGACUCCAUGAAAGCUAUAUGCGCUAGAGGAGGACUUUGCGUUCCAUUAGUUAGUUGGUGAGGUAAUGGCUCACCAAGACCGCGAUGGGUAGCCGGCCUGAGAGGGUGAUCGGCGACAAGGGAACUGAGACACGGUCCUUACUCCUACGGGAGGCAGCAGUGGGGAAUAUUGGACAAUGGGCCACAAGCCUGAUCCAGCAAUUCUGUGUGCACGAUGAAGGUCUUCGGAUUGUAAAGUGCUUUCAGUAGGGAAGAAAAAAAUGACGGUACCUACAGAAGAAGCGACGGCUAAAUAUGUGCCAGCCGCCGCCGUAACAC